AAUAGAUACCCGGGUAGUCCACGCCGUAAACGUUGGGCGCUAGGUGUGGGGAACCUUCCACGUUCUCCGUGCCGUAGCUAACGCAUUAAAGCGCCCCGCCUGGGGAGUACGGCCGCAAGGCUAAAACUCAAAGGAAUUGACGGGGGCCCGCACAAGCGGCGGAGCAUGCGGCUUAAUUCGAUGCAACGCGAAGAACCUUACCUAGGCUUGACAUAUACCGAAAACUCACAGAGAUGUGGGGUCCGCAAGGGCGGUAUACAGGUGGUGCAUGGUUGUCGUCAGCUCGUGUCGUGAGAUGUUGGGUUAAGUCCCGCAACGAGCGCAACCCUCGUUCUAUGUUGCCAGCACGUUAUGGUGGGAACUCAUGGGAUACUGCCGGGGUCAACUCGGAGGAAGGUGGGGAUGACGUCAAAUCAUCAUGCCCCUUAUGUCUUGGGCUUCACGCAUGCUACAAUGGCCGGUACAAUGGGCUGCGAUACCGUGAGGUGGAGCGAAUCCCAAAAAGCCGGUCCAGUUCGGAUUGAGGUCUGCAACUCGACCU
rnacentral:rRNA from 1 species